UGUUGAUUUUACAGAGUUCGCUACUCUAGAGUGGUCAGGUGUUAGUUGUAGUGUUCGUUUAUAAUUUAUCAUCACUCACAGUGUCAGAAACUUCCACAAGGGGGUGUUGCUUUCCAGUGUUCCAAUAAUAACGUUUGCGGGGAGUUAAGAUUCACGCCACGCCCCUUCUUUCUGAAGCGGGAAAGUCAGUUACUCAGCAUCGACCGACCUGGACUCACGUUACUGAGGUUUGGAACAUGCUGCUGAAGUUGGUUAUCAGGGCUCCAGGAAAUGUAUCAAACUGCAGGAUUGAUUUAUUUUUGCUCAUUAGUGAAGGUGGUAAGCUAAACUG